rnacentral:rRNA from 1 species
GACGUAGGGGGCAAGCGUUGUCCGGAUUUAUUGGGCGUAAAGGGUGCGUAGGCGGUUUGGUAAGUCUGAUGUGAAAUCUAUGGGCUCAACUCAUAGUCUGCAUCGGAAACUGCCGGGCUUGAGUGUGGGAGAGGUGAGUGGAAUUCCUGGUGUAGCGGUGAAAUGCGUAGAUAUCAGGAGGAACACCUGUGGCGAAAGCGGCUCACUGGACCAUAACUGACGCUGAUGCACGAAAGCUAGGGGAGCAAACAGG